UAGAAAUGAGUGUUCUGGUUUUUCUGAUUUUGAGUAAGGAGUUUGUUGCUGCGAAUAGAAGCCGAACGAGUUAUUCCACAGAAGAAGUUUUUUCGAUUAAAAGUUUCGAAAAAUUGAGUCGGAGAAAGGAUCACAAUCUGUUUACAUUUGGUUUUGAAGUUUUGGAUCUAAAAUACAUAGUGAUAAGUUUGUAAUGCUGCAGGUAAAGAUUUCAUGGAUAGAAAGUUUACAUGUUAAAAAACGGAACCGUUGCGCUUCGUGAGAUCUGGUAAUGGCAAGAAAUGGUUAAAUUACAUAUACCAUAUACUCCUUGUAUAUGCAAAGGAUGGAUCUGUCAAGGAACACCAAGAAGUCGUUGCAAGUUCAAAGGUUGAUCUUAAAGGUGAAACCAUUCUAUCAAACUUCCUUUAAUGAUUUGCGACAAGGACAUUUAUUUUCUCGAAAGCAGCCAUUUUGUCUUGGUACAAAGUAAAUAUCAUAAUUCUUCUGACACUGUAUGGUUGGACUUGCACUUUUGGCUUUAGAAACGGUAAGCAUGGGAAAAUAUCAAGUUUGGUUAAACGAUCAUUACAAUCCUUUCAUACAAGCCUCAAUUUUUUCUUUUGUUAUAAAUGUUGGUAUAUAAGUCUGAACGAGACCUUUGAAAACAGUUCAACUUGGUUUUUCGGAGUUCAAUGAGAUUUUAAGCUACACCUAAUUGAAAGUUGGUCAACUUAAUGAUGUUGUUGCAGUAGUUCAUUCCUACGAGGACAAAGCGGCGCCUGGAUCUCACAUGACAAGACUUACUGCUCUUAAUGUACAUGUUCUCAGUAAAAUUCAUUCUUGGUUCUCAAAUUUUGCCAUUAGAUAGUGCCAUGCUUAGACAAUGACAAUUGAAAAAUACUAUUGGAAAGGUUCCUCCCAUGGGAUUAGUAUAUUUUUCUUCAACUGUAGUCUGUACCGACAUCACUAUUAGAAAGGUUCCUCCCGUGGGAUUAGUAUAUUGAGAUCACUGCAGGUGCAUUCCUGAUUUGUAAUUUGUUUAUACCUGCUGAAAUUUAUAUCACUGUAGGUGAGUCUCCGCUGGUUGGGAAAACGGUGUGGAAACUUACUUAUCUUUUGUACUUUGUUCAUACUGUCAAACUGCCCUAUGAAAUUUAUAAGUUUGAUAUUUGCAGGACAUAUUUGAUCUUCCUUGUCACUUGGCUAGAGAUCAAGUAUAAGAGGCUAUUACUUAUUAAUAUCACUUUUUUUAGUUUCCAUUGUUAAGUACUUUAGUAGAUGGAUUGUUUGUGUUAUGGUUAUUAAUGGCUUGAAAUUUCUAAUAUGAAGGAGCACAUAGUCCAAUUACAAGAUGGUAAAAAAAAGCAUUAUACAAGAACGGGUGUUUUGGAUGUCGAUGGAUCUAAUUAUUGCUCAAACCAUGAUUACAAAGGAAUCUCUUGUCUUUAAAGAGUCAAUAGAUAUCAAUGAGAGUAAGGUUAAUAGAUUAACAACUCUACUCAAAUGUUCAUAACUUUUAAAUAUUUUAAUUUAUGAA